ensembl:lncRNA
CCUGCUCCAGUGCCUGCACAGCCCCAGCUACUGCACUGCAUUGGGCUGGUAUGCCAGGAUUCAGUGAGGUUUGGCUCCAGCCCUGGCACGUAGCAGGCAGUUGGCUGCUGUGUCGCCAGGAGCUGCAAAGGGAUUUGCCCACCCCAGGGGCUGUGACACGGUGGCCUUGAGGAGCCCUAAUGGCAGCAAGUAUAUUCUGGAGGUACUGCCUGGACUCUGCCCACGUGCUGACGCAGGCAGUGCUGACCUUGUUUCCAGCCCCAGCGCUGCAAUGGACUGAGAAUCUUCUGGAUGAAACCCUGGUGCUAAGGGGCAGCCAAGUGUGACAGUGUGCACUGUGCGUGCCUUGGCCGUGUCUGGUGGCUUGGGAACCGUGGGGAUGCCGUGUCCUGGAGCCAGCUGCUGUCACUGCAGGGCACGCAGCUCCCAGGCUGCCAACUCAUCUGGCUGUGGCUGUAGGGGAGCCAUUGUUCCCAUUCCAGUUCCUGGCCUCUCCCAAAUGCAAUCCUCAUUUUGUUGCUGUGACUCCUUCCAAAGGGGCUGGAGUGUUGUCCUGCUUGUCCCCACCCCCCAGUUCCUUUUGCUCCCAUUUACUGCAGUGAAGCUUUUGAGGGAUUAGUUGCUAACUGUUUCAAAACACAUUGGAUGUGGGAGCCAAGCCCAUUGAAUUCCUUUGUGCUGGUCCAAAGCUCUCAGCUGAGGACACCAAAAUGAGUUGCUGAGGAAUUUAGUUUUGCAAGAGUAAUUCUAUUUCUGUGUAAAUUUCUGCCCUGUUUUGGGUGCUGGGGGUUAGGAUGCUGUGCUCUCCCUCAGGUGAGGCUCUCCCCACCAGCACAGAGCAGAUAUUCUGGGGUUGGAACCUGCCAGCCUGCACCGAAGUUUACCUGUGCUCACAUUCCCCUUCCCUGGGAGCAUCAGAGCAGCCCCAGCUCCUCGAGACACCAAGGCUCAGCUGACUGCAGAGCACCAGUGAUGCUGAUGUGUGACCUGCUGCCCUGCUGUGCUAUCUCCAGCCUCUUGCUGCUCUGCACCUCAAGGUAGAUCUCUAAACGUUUUCACUGCCCUAAAGAAACCAGUGUUUGCCAAUAAGAACAGCCCUUCCUUGGCCUGGCUGCUGCAAGUGUGGACGUCACGGUGGUCGCUUGAGGCAGGGGGCAGGAAGAGGGAGGACGCUGCCCUGUGCCUCCUG